AGGACGAACGCUGGCGGCGUGCUUAACACAUGCAAGUCGAGCGAGGCCCUCCUUUCGGGGGGGUGCCCUAGCGGCGAACGGGUGAGUAACACGUGGGCAACCUGCCUUCAGCACUGGGAUAACUCCGGGAAACCGGGGCUAAUACCGGAUAUGACCUCCGAGGGCAUCCUUGGUGGUGUAAAGGAUUCUGGCUGAAGAUGGGCCCGCGGCCUAUCAGCUUGUUGGUGGGGUAAUGGCCUACCAAGGCGACGACGGGUA
rnacentral:rRNA from 1 species